GUCACUGCAGCUACUGCUCUCUGCUUUGCAGAAUGUAAAUUCGUCUGUCAGGUUCCUUGAGAGGCUCUGGAGCUGCAGAACGGAGGUGGAGUGCGACUGGAGCGCAGCCCUUGCUCUCCCUGCUCCCUUCUGCUGGGGUAAGGCAUGGCCAAAGGGAGAGCAGGAAUUGUUUUGAAUCCAAGGAAUAUCACAGCUCUGAUUUCUGGUACAACAGCACGGAUUGCACAGGGGGUUAGUCCGUGUUUGCUGCAGGGUGAAUGAGGACUGAUUACUGGUCACAGAGGAUUAGGAAGAAAUUCCAAGCUGGAGAGGGCAAGGAGUAAAUGUUGAUCUCCCUCUGGUGUGUGCUCAAAGGAGAAGGAAAAAGGUGUUUGUGAGAAAAGCUGCAUGCAGGCACGGGUUUUUUGCUACAUCAUUAUUUUGAUACCCGGUGGUUUGUACGGCUGGAUGUCGGUCAUUUGCCAAAGGCCUUGGAGCAACAGUCCUUAGGAAUGAACAAAGCCUGUGCCUAAAACACUUUGGUCACGAGGGGAGCACAAGGGGAAAGGGCUGCCAG